AUGCUUCCUUCCACAAAUAUCAAAGCAUCCUUCGUUAGAAUCUUGGCAAACUCCUCAUCGUAUCUCCCCCUAAUGUCCACCCCAUUCGGAACAUCGUAACCGCCAACGCCGCCUGGGAUCUUCUUCAUGGCGGUGUCACCGUAGUAGCCUAGACUCGACGACAUUUUUUUGGUUGGUGUGUGUGUGUUUUUGUGUCGAGUGUGUGU
rnacentral:lncRNA from 1 species